rnacentral:rRNA from 1 species
UACGGAAGGCAGCAGUGGGGAAUUUUGGACAAUGGGCGCAAGCCUGAUCCAGCCAUGCCGCGUGAGUGAAGAAGGCCUUCGGGUUGUAAAGCUCUUUCGGACGGAAAGAAAUCGCGCAGGCUAAUACCCUGCGCGGAUGACGGUACCGUCAUAAGAAGCACCGGCUAACUACGUGCCAGCAGCCGCGGUAAUACGUAGGGUGCGAGCGUUAAUCGGAAUUACUGGGCGUAAAGCGUGCGCAGGCGGUUGAUUAAGACAGGCGUGAAAUCCCCGGGCUUAACCUGGGAACUGCGCUUGUGACUGGUCAGCUAGAGUACGGCAGAGGGGGUGGAAUUCCACGUGUAGCAGUGAAAUGCGUAGAGAUGUGGAGGAAACACCGGAUGGCGAAAGGCAGGCCCCUAGGGCCGAUACUGACGCUCAUGCACGAAAGCGUGGGUAGCAAACAGGAUUAGGAAUAACC